rnacentral:rRNA from 1 species
AACAAACGCUGGCGGCGUGCCUAAUACAUGCAAGUCGAACGUGAACAGGGGCAACCCUUAGUAAAGUGGCGCACGGGUGAGUAACACGUAGGUUAUCUGCCUAUUAGUGGGGAAUAACACAGGGAAACCUGUGCUAAUGCCGCAUAAGUAAGCAAUUAGAAAGGGGCGGUCGCAAGACGUCUCGCUGAUAGAAGAGCCUGCGGCCUAUUAGCUAGUUGGUGGGGUAAUGGCCUACCAAGGCAACGAUAGGUAUCCGGUCUGAGAGGAUGAUCGGACACACUGGAACUGGGAAACGGUCCAGACUCCUACGGGAGGCAGCAGUAGGGAAUAUUGCGCAAUGGGGGAAACCCUGACGCAGCAACGCCGCGUGAGUGAGGAAGGUCUUCGGAUUGUAAAACUCUUUUAUCAGGGAAAAAUGGUCAUGGAGCUAAUACCCCAUGAUUUGAUGGUACCUGAGGAAUAAGCACCGGCUAACUUCGUGCCAGCAGCCGCGGUAAUAC